CGCUGAAGCCCAGCUUGCUGGGUGGAUGAGUGGCGAACGGGUGAGUAACACGUGAGUAACCUGCCCCCUUCUUUGGGAUAACGCCCGGAAACGGGUGCUAAUACUGGAUAUUCACUGGCUUUCGCAUGGGGGUUGGUGGAAAGGUUUUUCUGGUGGGGGAUGGGCUCGCGGCCUAUCAGCUUGUUGGUGGGGUGAUGGCCUACCAAGGCUUUGACGGGUAGCCGGCCUGAGAGGGUGACCGGUCACAUUGGGACUGAGAUACGGCCCAGACUCCUACGGGAGGCAGCAGUGGGGAAUAUUGCACAAUGGGCGAAAGCCUGAUGCAGCGACGCCGCGUGAGGGAUGGAGGCCUUCGGGUUGUAAACCUCUUUCGCUCAUGGUCAAGCCGCAACAAUGGUUGUGGUGAGGGUAGUGGGUAAAGAAGCGCCGGCUAACUACGUGCCAGCAGCCGCGGUAAUACGUAGGGCGCGAGCGUUGUCCGGAAUUAUUGGGCGUAAAGGGCUUGUAGGCGGUUGGUCGCGUCUGCCGUGAAAUCCUCUGGCUUAACUGGGGGCGUGCGGUGGGUACGGGCUGACUUGAGUGCGGUAGGGGAGACUGGAACUCCUGGUGUAGCGGUGGAAUGCGCAGAUAUCAGGAAGAACACCGGUGGCGAAGGCGGGUCUCUGGGCCGUUACUGACGCUGAGGAGCGAAAGCGUGGGGAGCGAACAGGAUUAGAUACC
rnacentral:rRNA from 1 species